rnacentral:rRNA from 1 species
AUUGAACGCUGGCGGCAGGCCUAACACAUGCAAGUCGAGCGAGUGGCGGACGGGUGAGUAAUGUAUGGGGAACUGCCCGAUAGAGGGGGAUAACUACUGGAAACGGUGGCUAAUACCGCAUACUAUCAGAUGAACCCAUAUGGGAUUAGCUAGUGGGUGGGGUAACGGCUCACCUAGGCGACGCUCCCUAGCUGGUCUGAGAGGAGGACCAGCCACACGGGUACUGAGACACGGCCCAGACUCCUACGGGAGGCAGCAGUGGGGAAUAUUGCACAAUGUGCGCAAGCCUGAUGCAGCCAUGCCGCGUGUAUGAAGAAGGCCUUAGGGUUGUAAAGUACUUUCAGCGGGGAGGCGUUACCCGCAGAAGAAGCACCGGCUAACUCCGUGCCAGCCGCGGCGGUAAUUC